rnacentral:rRNA from 1 species
UACAGAGGUCUCAAGCGUUGUUCGGAUUCAUUGGGCGUAAAGGGUGCGUAGGCGGCGCGGUAAGUCGGGUGUGAAAUCUCGGAGCUUAACUCCGAAACUGCAUUCGAUACUACCGUGCUUGAGGACUGGAAAGGAGACUGGAAUUUACGGUGUAGCGGUGAAAUGCGUAGAUAUCGUAAGGAAGACCAGUGGCGAAGGCGGGUCUCUGGACAGUUCCUGACGCUGAGGCACGAAGGUCAGGGGAGCAAACGGG